CUCGGGAGCGGCCCCGGCUGCCUCGGGAACGGCCCCGGCUGCCUCGGGAGCGCCGCAGUGCUGCUUCCCAGCUGCGGACGUGCCGCGGGGCCGCAGGAGGCCGUGCCGCCCCAGCCUGGUUGGAAAUACAUGGUCCAAACCUGAGCAGACUGACUGCAGACAUUUUUGUUAACCUUAUGGACUUUGAUUCAGAAUCUGUGAUACAAGAGAAUCCACUGUGCAGGACCGGGGUGUAAUUCCAUCAAGGACUUCUGGUGACCUCAUAAACCAUAAGAGCUGGCACAGACUUUAAUGGGCACCACGUGGUUGAGUUCCCAUGCAUCAUUUUGAAAAUUAUCCUUGCAUGCUGCUUCCAAGUUAGAAGUUACACUGGGACUGAAGGACUCAUUCAGGAGAGGAUAAAACUAAUCCGUUCUGCAGCUGUGAACCAGAGAAGUCCCAGCAAGCUUCCCAGUAAAAUGAAAAAGUGAUGAGAAGAAGAAUAUAAAUGUUCUAGAAGAAUACAUGCUGAGGAUAGCUUUCAGCUGCUGUGCUCUUAACUUAAGCCAAGUGCCUUGGAAGUGCAGGUUCUCAGACGGAAAUGAACUGCUACCAACUGCCGUCCAUGUGAGUCAGCUUCAUCCAGGAUGAUUACCAUCAGAGAGAUUGUUCAGGAGCCAGCCGCAAGGGACCUGCAGCAGAGGUAACUCCACUUGGCACACUGGGAAUAGUUGGAUGUAUUUGAAUUUUCCCCUCCAGAAUACAUAGCACAGGAGACAGAACAUCCAUAAAAGCAACAUUUUUCCAACAUAUAGUAUAAAUGCUCUGCUAUUCUAAGGCCAAAAAGCAAUAAAAAAAUGGGAUAUCACCCAAGAAAAUAUUUGAGAGGCAAAUAGAACCUGGAAAAGAAAGAACAC